UUAGCAAUAAAAGUAUUAAAGGUCCUGCCUGCCCAGUGAAAAUUUUUAAACGGCCGCGGUAUUCUAACCGUGCAAAGGUAGCGUAAUCACUUGUCUUCUAAAUAAAGACCAGUAUGAACGGCUAAAUGAGGACAAAUCUGUCUCCUACAACCAAUCAGUGAAACUGAUCUCCCAGUCCAAAAGCUGGGAUACAAACAUUAGACGAGAAGACCCUGUGGAGCUUAAAAAACACCUAGUAACACACACAACUAGCACAAAUUUUUAAGUUGGGGCGACUUCGGAAAAAAACAAAACUUCCGAGCACAGAACCACAAAUUCGAGCCAAGGCAAACGAGCCAAAGAAAACCAUUGACCCAGUCCAUACUGAUCAACGAACCAAGUUACCCCAGGGAUAACAGCGCCAUCCUCUUUGAGAGUCCAUAUCGACAAGGGGGUUUACGACCUCGAUGUUGGAUCAGGGCACCCCAAUGGUGCAACCGCUAUUAAAGGUUCGUUUGUUCAACGAUUAACAGCC
rnacentral:rRNA from 1 species